GAUGAACGCUGGCGGCGUGCUUAACACAUGCAAGUCGAACGAAGCACUUUAACCUGAUUCUUCGGAUGAAGGUUUUUGUGACUGAGUGGCGGACGGGUGAGUAACGCGUGGGUAACCUGCCUCAUACAGGGGGUUCACAGUUAGAAAUGACUGCUAAUACCGCAUAAGACCACAGAGCCGCAUGGCUCGGUGGGAAAAACUCCGGUGGUAUGAGAUGGACCCGCGUCUGAUUAGGUAGUUGGUGGGGUAACGGCCUACCAAGCCAACGAUCAGUAGCCGACCUGGGAGGGGGACCGGCCACAUUGGGACUGAGACACGGCCCAAACUCCUACGGGAGGCAGCAGUGGGGAAUAUUGCACAAUGGGGGAAACCCUGAUGCAGCGACGCCGCGUGAGCGAAGAAGUAUUUCGGUAUGUAAAGCUCUAUCAGCAGGUAAGAAAAUGACGGUACCUGACUAAGAAGCACCGGCUAAAUACGUG
rnacentral:rRNA from 1 species